CGGCUCUGACCCGCCAGCCCUCGGAAGAAGCAGACCCUGGCCGGUCCAUGGCAGUGGCCCGAGGGGCACCAGCGCGGAGCACCAGCGACCCCCAAGGAACGACGUUGCAGAUGAUGCUCUACCAAGAGUUGGAAGGACUCCCCAGGGAAUCACACAAGGACACUGCCCUUCCUAUGCCUCCUUUCCCUCGCUUAAAAAAUGGGGAUAAGAAGGUUGGCUACUGCUCCGACAGCCCUCGCAAUGGAAGAGUAGCACUUCAUUUGUGGGUUAACAAAGGGCAACGCUGAAAUCUCCACUUCCACUAUUGAAUGGAACUGUGUCAUAAUAUCUGUUAGAGGCGUGCAAACUCGGCCACAAGGUCAUGGUCAUACGUUAUUGUUGGUCAAAAGCCGCAGCCCUACCU
rnacentral:lncRNA from 1 species